rnacentral:misc_RNA from 1 species
UUGACAAUUGUCUGUAUGCUCAGAGGUACACUGAAUGACAGGAUUUUGGUCUCCGGCAGGCAUCUUUUCAAACAUGAGACCCCCCCUGGGGCCGCCUACCGAAGCAACAAAGAUAGAUAGACAUCGGAUGGAGUUUUUACACUCUGUAAUGAUCCCUCCGCUGGUUCACCAACGGAGA